rnacentral:pre_miRNA from 1 species
GAAAUCAAAGAUGGGUGAGACCUCAUGAGCAAAUACAGGCGACCCAUACUUGGUUUCAG